rnacentral:lncRNA from 1 species
CGUACCAUGUGUACUACUCUGGUUUCUAAUCUUUUAUUUUUUAUUUAAAAUUAAUUAUAUAUAUAUACCUUUCAAAAAUUUUAAAAUAUUUUAUAUAUUUUAAUUUUUUUAAAUAUAUGUUUCGUGUAUUUCUUUGUUAUUCAUAAAUAACUCUACACUGUAAAUACGGUUAAGUUAUCUCGGAUUAAAUUCAAAUUAAAUUUCUAUCAGAAUUAAAAAUAAAUUAAAAUAAUUUUUUAUCUAUAAUUAAAAGAUAAAUAAAAAAAUUAGUGAUAAUAGAAAGGUAUAUUUGAAAUGACAAAAAGUCAAAAUAUUUUUUUUUUCACUACUUAAAGGACAAAUAAGAAAAAUUGAUAACCGUAAAAAUAUAUAUUUAAAAGAGCAAAAUAAUAAUUUUAUAAAAAUAAUGAUUAAUUCUAACAGUUCACUAAUAAAAUAUAACUGUAGAAAUAUAUUUGAAAGAAAGCGUACGUUUUAUAUUAGCCUUUUAAAUAGGGAAGAAAAUAAUAAAGUUUGAAACUUUUCGGUGGAUA